UACAGAGGUCCCAAGCGUUGUUCGGAUUCACUGGGCGUAAAGGGUGCGUAGGUGGUCAGGUAAGUCUGAUGUGAAAUCUCUGGGCUCAACCCAGAAACUGCAUUGGAUACUAUCUGGCUAGAGGAGUGGAGGGGGGACUGGAAUACUUGGUGUAGCAGUGAAAUGCGUAGAUAUCAAGUGGAACACCAGUGGCGAAGGCGAGUCCCUGGACACUUCCUGACGCUGAGGCGCGAAAGCUAGGGGAGCAAACGGG
rnacentral:rRNA from 1 species